CACGUAGGCGGGUUGUUAAGUCGGGGGUGAAAUCCUGGAGCUCAACUCCAGAACUGCUCUCGAUACUGGCGAUCUUGAGUCCGGGAGGGGUGAGUGGAACUGCGAGUGUAGAGGUGAAAUUCGUAGAUAUUCGCAAGAACACCAGUGGCGAAGGCGGCUCACUGGCCCGGUACUGACGCUGAUGUGCGAAAGCGUGGGGAAGCAAACA
rnacentral:rRNA from 1 species